rnacentral:rRNA from 1 species
CUCAGGAUGAACGCUAGCGGCAGGCUUAACACAUGCAAGUCAGGGGUAGAGCAGCUUGCUGCUUUGAGACCGGCGCACGGGUGCGUAACGCGUAUACAAUCUACCUUUUACAGAGGGGAUAGCCCAGAGAAAUUUGGAUUAAUACCUCAUAGUAUUUUCGAAUGGCAUCAUUUGAUUAUUAAAGUUCCAACGGUAAAAGAUGAGUAUGCGUCCCAUUAGCUAGAUGGUAAGGUAACGGCUUACCAUGGCAACGAUGGGUAGGGGUCCUGAGAGGGAGAUCCCCCACACUGGUACUGAGACACGGACCAGACUCCUACGGGAGGCAGCAGUGAGGAAUAUUGGACAAUGGGCGCAAGCCUGAUCCAGCCAUGCCGCGUGCAGGAAGACGGUCCUAUGGAUUGUAAACUGCUUUUAUACAGGAAGAAACACCUCUACGUGUAGAGACUUGACGGUACUGUAUGAAUAAGCAUCGGCUAACUCCGUG